UUACACGAAGGUUAUGAUUGUACAAAUAUCUAGUGUUUUAGAUCAUUGUUGAUUUUGCCUGUAUUUAUUUUCAGAAAAGUAUCGGAUUCCAUUCACAAAGAUUACAACAUAAUAUACGCUGUAAUUGGUGUAGUUGGUUUCCUGCUCGUACUAGUGCUGCUGACAUUGUGUGCCAGACAGAUAAGAUUAUACCGCAAUGAAGACAGGCACUUGAACGGGAUGACAAUAAAUUCAAGUAAAACAGUGCAAGAUUCAGGUAACUACGAAGAUCCACCUUAUUUGAACAGAAAGGAUCUGAUCUGGAAUUUUCGAAGGAAGGCGCAUUCUUCUAGCUCCACAUUUAACUCUGCCGGCGGUGCCCGGAUGUUUUCAUGGCUUAAAAGAGAAAAUGACUUUGGUUCUACGUAUUAACCAAAGGCUCGUAUUAGAUACUUCUCAGAAAGAUUCGUCAUAAGGCUGAUUACUUUCUUGAAAAUAUGUGAUGAAAUAUACAGUGAGAUAAGUAGCACUGAAAAUAUGUAAAUGAAAUCAAAAAUGAAAUCAGCGACGUUGAAAAUAUGUGAAUGAAUUAUAUGAGAUAAGCGACUUCAUAAAGAAAAACUGAAUUAAUCUCUGUCUGUCUGUCUGUCUCUCUCUCUCUCUCUCUCUCUCUCUCUCUCUCUCUCUCUCUCUGUCUGUCUGUCUCUGUACGUGUGUGUAUGCGUGUGAAUAUAGUCAUCAGGUUAAUAUAAUAUGAAUGCAUGGAAAUCGACAUCUUUUCUAAUCCAUUUCAAUGCUACUUCCUUACAAUCCAGACAAUGUUUAUCAAAUGGUAUAAAUAUCAUAUAGUGCUGGUGAAAUUUCGCUACGUCUUGAAAUGUCAAUUUCUUUUUAUUCAAAACUUGUAUUAAAAUCUUACAUAAAACGGGUGUGUAGCCGAUUAUUGCCACAGGGUAGAUGAUAGAACAUAGGAAAGUACUUCUUAAAAGUAAACUUGCUUAUAGCUCUGGAAAUAUGAUGUACUUGUUUCAUAUGUUUAUUUGUUAUUUCAAUCAUAUGUACUCAUUUUUGUUUAUAUAUAGUUUUGUUACACUUUUGGUCGUUUCCAUAUUUUCACAGUUUUAUUUUACCCCUUUUUAGCUCAUCUGAGCACGAAGUGCUCACGGUAAACUUUUAGGAUCGUUAAAUGUUCGUCGUAGACAAGGUCUAUAUACAACAUCUCCGAAGCCACCAAGCCAAUUGCAACCAAGGAAUACCUAAAAUAAGGUAGCUAAUUUGUAAAACUGGGUCUUUUGAAAUGAUACUUAUGCAAGCAUUUACACCUGCACCGAGGAGUGCAGUUUCCCAUGAUGCCGUUGUCUUGUCAAAUUUGUCAUGAUCUGACAGUAAUGUAUUAGGUGCAAAAUAUGCUCCUCAAAAACAGGCAAAAGGGCAGCAAUAUUCGUUGCUGCUGUCUAAAAGAACACUAGCUUUGAGAUGUCUACCUGUUCUUAAGAUCUUCCUAACAACGACCCUUAAAUAGUUCCAGGCUUUCCACAAAUACAUUUAUUUCUACAACGUGCAGUGCACUAGGAAUAACUUAAAAACUUUUCAUUGUUGGUGACUACAUACAAUAUAAACUGAAGAUUACGUUUUAAUUAAAACAUGCAGCCGUAUGAAUACACUCGUAUGAAUACACAUCUUCGAAACAAGACCUCGCUGUCACCGUAUUUUCCUUAUCAUCUUACCAUAACAUAAUACUGUCCCACAGGUCACGUAGCUAAUAACAAAGAUGGGUGGAAAUCCACUGGUCGCCAAACAUGACACAAAUGAAAAUGUUGCAGGGUCAGUUCAUGGACGGUAGUGAAAAUAUAUGCUACCGUCUUACAAUUUGUGGGUUCGUGAUGAACUGGACAGAAUAUGGACCGUAUAUAUAAACUAAACUUAUAUGAGCCUACAGCGAUAAUGAUUGCCUUUCUGAAACGGUUAUAUUUCUUGGUCAACGGAGACAAAUAUUCAUAUCCAAAUAUUCCCUUCGGUAAAAUAAUCGAUUUGUAGACUGUAGUCGCCCGUGAAACGGUAUUUAUACCAUCUUGUGAUAGUCCUUGUUGAUUGCCCAACUUUCUUUUAGACUACAGUUGCACGCUACGAUUUCCUUUUUUGAUUGUGUCUGACCAAACAAGCAGUGAAGCUGUUUCCCCUUAAAACAUUAUCUAAGAUUUUGUUAGCUGUGGCAGCCCCUAACAUCAGUCAAGCAGAACCAUUUGAACAAAUAUGAAAGAGGACAUUACAAAGAUGCUACAGACUAAGUUUGGUGACAAUACAUCAAACGGUUCACGAGAAGUCGCUUAUAGUCUUUUCUAUUUCCCAUCUGCACCUACAACCAGUGAAAGAAUCUUAUAUUGUACUUUGUAUGUUUGGAACCCUUUCAAUACGGUUAAAAUGUCAAGGCCUUUUUCAGGUGAGCAACUUAGGCCAAUUUUAGCCUGCUUGUUUAUGAUAAUGUUUCAUUUUGAUAACAAAUCAUAUGUAUGUAUAAUAUAAAUAGGAAUUAUUUAAGCUUUAUAAAGCUUUAUAAUUAUUUGGUUAUAUAACUGCUGACAAUAUUCAAGUACUGUUUGCAAAAUAUUAGAUAUACACGUACGCUCGUAGGAAUAACCGUUUUGUGAACUUUGUUAUGUAACUGUAGUUGAAUGUUAUAUGUUUGAGAAAACUUGUAAAAGUUAUAGCUUUUCACCAGAUAAAUGCGUUCCCAGAAUAUGAUAUUCAGUAAAUAAUGUUUGUUUAAUAAGGCAUUUUUAUUGUGUGUGUUUUUAUGCCCCACACAUUUAUGUUGGGGCGCAAAGCGUCGCUGCUGUUCGUUAGUCCGUCCGUACGUGCUUACAUUUGCAUACAUAGAUGGCUAUAGAAACAAUAGUUAACUGUACUUUUUCUCUGAUGUCAUUAAUUCCGUUAAACUUUCAUAUGGCUAUUUUUCUAAAGGAACAUAGAGGGAACUGAAGAGUAGCCACAUAAAUACCCUUAUGUAAGACCUCCUGUCCGUACGUCCCGAAACUUUGUGUGUCCAACUCCUUCCACGCUAUUAGCCUGAUUUGCUUUAAACUUUCACAGAUGAACAAGCUUCAUGUGCAGUUGACCUUAAAAGAUGGAUAUUUUCUGUGAAAAGUUUAACUACAGUUAUGGCCCUUUGAUAGGUUUGCUAUGUAGAGGAUGGCAUAUCAUGUGGGGGCAUCCUUGUCCUAUUGACACAAUUUUUCUUUUUAAUUCUCCGCGCUCACAAACGCGAAGUAUUUGUGAUGUGGAUGUCGUAAAUGACCAUUUUGUCCUUUCGAUUUGCAAAAUUUCAAAUUUUUAUCUUUAAUGUCUGAUCUGGCCCAUAAAAAUGGCAUCAAAAUUAACAACACAAAACAGAACAAUACGUUUCAUUAGAAAGAAAAAGAAGCAGGAAAGGAAUCAAAGAGCAGUAAAGAAUGCAAUUUGUGUCGGACAUCACGCGGACAAUUCCUUUCGUUUUCAGUUUGAUGAAUGCGCAGAAAGAAUGUUACCCUUUUCGUGUGUAAUAAUUUUAUAUGUUAUUUUAUUUUAAAUAUUGAUUUAUUAUGUUGUAGACAUUGUUAUUUGCCACAUUUCAUAUGAUAGGGGGUAUAGGCCUUUUAUUCCAACCGAAAUUCUGGAUACUGCUCUGUAAAGUUAAUUUAUGCUUAUUUUUAAACCCAUUUUAUUAUGUUACUUUUAUUGGAUUGUAUACAAGUAAGUUUUAUACUACUACUUCUAUAUAAGCAUUUGUUAAGGAUUGUUGUAUAUUUUGUAUCGUGUUGUUACUAUGUCGUUGUUCACUCUUCAACUCCCUAUAGGUGCAAAGCUCUGUCAUCUUAAUGUAGGCAUGACCUUGCCCAUUCGUCUUUCGGUCAUCAACACCAAACUUAUUUCUGGAACAGUGUAUAAUAUUUUUAGUUUUAUACUUCGAUUUUGUUUUAAGUUAAGUAUCGAUGUGUUUAAUGUUUGAUAUGCAUAAUUAUAAUCAAACAUUUUACAAAUGUCGCCUAACAAUAAGGCAAAAAACUGGCCUUUGAACCAAGAUGACUUGCAUUUCAAAGUAUCCUUGCUCUUUUAUGUCAAUGUAGGUUUCUUACAGGCUGACCUUUAGCAAUAUCAGAACAAUGGUCUUUCCAGAGAGUUGGCUGGUUGCACAACAUUGACCGAGUAUACGACUGUAUAUAGUGGUAAAGGUGUUUAUAGUGAACUGUUUAGUCAAUAUUCAUUGCUUCUAAGUAAAUGCACCAACGUAAUCGUCAAAAUAUAAUACUACAGUUAUAUUUAUCUUGUUUUCUUUUUUUAAACUGUAGGUUUUAGCCCCUAGGCGGGAUAAAAUGAUAUUUGUUCUGUUUCAUUCAUUGUACAUCUUAGUCCUUCAUCAUCAUUUAACUUAAAAGGUAUCAUAUAGAGCCCACAUUCCUGAUUAGACAAUUAUCAGAAUAAUAGUCUUGAUACCAUUUGAGCUAAGUUUGAAACUCAUUCAUUUCAGAUGAACAACUACGUAAGUCUGAAUUUAAGCACAAUACACCAAAACUUGGAGGUCAGUUUCGCAUAACGGUCAUGGUCAGUCAAUAAUUAGGUCAAUAAAUACAACACUAAAAUCCUGCUCACACUACAAAUUUUAAGGCAAUGAUUUUUCUCCAACAUACAUGAAACACUAUCAGACUGUCUAGGGUCUACAACAAAGACACAAGUAUCGUUAUAUUAUCUCCGGUUCUUUCAGUACUACAUACACUGCUUUGUUUGAUGCGGAGUUUCCUUUAGCUGAAUCUUGCAGCAACUUUCGUACUUGUUGUAUAAUAUUGAUUGGUAUAAUUCUAACAUCAAGAACAAUACUAAUGCAUAUAUAAAGCCUGCCAUUUUUAAAUUAUGCUCUUUAGUGAAAUACUGAAAUUUAUCAGUGAAUAUAAAAUUGAUAUUUUCACUUUUUCAAACAGUGGAAAUAUCAUUUUUAUUUUUCACUGACUUGAAUGCGAAAGAAUACGAAUUAUGAAUAAUAAAAAAUUCCUUGUAAAUAUACUUCAGCAGAUCUAAAGAUUUAGAUGUAUAAAAAUAGUAACAGGAUCAUAAAUAUAUACUUUCUAUCAUGAUAAAAAGUAAAACAAAACCAGGGAACGUAAUAGAACUAUUUACAGUUUGUCUAUAAAAAUAUCAUGACUUCACGACAUUAUGACGUCAUGACGUUGUGCGGACAAACUGGGUAUAAUUUGGCUAAAAUCAUUAAAAAUACAUUAAAUAAAUAGAAAAUUUGCUGCGCCACUCGUGAAAAUAUUACAUUAUAGUGUUCACUCGAUGAAAUAUAUUUCGAUCUUACACUAAAACAAACAAAUAUCCUCUUUUUAUUCAGAUUGACCAUUUAGAUUAUACAAGAUCUAUAAUGAUAAUGUAUUCAAGCCCAUGGUAACACCACUGCAUUCCACCUGGCCAUUUAGAUAACUUCGUUUGAGGUCAAGUAGAGUUUAUCUUAGAUUUGUGGCACAUUUGUAUGUCUUUCUCUUACAUGUGAUUUAAUAGUUUGGCAUUUGCUUUGUUACAAAAGAUUGUUACAUAGUUCAAAAAUAUAUUACUAAUAAUGUAAUUUAUAUUCGAGACAUUUAUAGAAUAAAGGCGGUGGAGGUUAAUAUUUUA
rnacentral:lncRNA from 1 species